GGGGAUGUAGCUCAGGGGUGGAGCAUUGCUCCACAGGCACAAGGUCCUGAGUUCAAGCCCCAGCACCAUCC
rnacentral:tRNA from 1 species